GUACUCUCACACUUCCGAUCGUUUGGAUCGGGAGCGGUGGACUUGGGUGUUGCUGCUUUUACUGUGGCUCACCUUAAAUGCAUUAGUGCACCUUUCGGUUGGACAUAGUACGGCGUGAUAAGUGUCUUCGCCGGCGCCUCACUUUGGUGAGGGUGGCCGAUCGGGAGCUCUGUGCUUCAAACCGUCUUCGGACAACAACUGACA
rnacentral:misc_RNA from 1 species